rnacentral:rRNA from 1 species
UACGAAGGGGGCUAGCGUUGCUCGGAAUCACUGGGCGUAAAGCGCACGUAGGCGGCUUUCUAAGUCAGGGUGAAAUCCUGGAGCUCAACUCCAGAACUGCCUUUGAUACUGGGAAUCUCGAGUCCGGAAGAGGUGAGUGGAACUGCGAGUGUAGAGGUGAAAUUCGUAGAUAUUCGCAAGAACACCAGUGGCGAAGGCGGCUCACUGGUCCGGUACUGACGCUGAGGUGCGAAAGCGUGGGGAGCGAACGAG